CCGGGAAAUCCGCGGCCGGCGGUUCGGGGACGGAACGGAGCUGCCGGAAGGGCGGUACGCGCAGCAGCCACUUCCGCUUCCGCCGCGCCGGAUCCUGCCGUACGGUCAUGAGUCGUCUCAAGUUUUUGGAUAUUGGUAUCAACUUAACAGAUCCUAUGUUCAGAGGAGUUUAUAGAGGGGUUCAAAAGCAUCAAGAUGAUUUACAGGAUGUAAUAGAGAGAGCUGUCCAGAUUGGUGUUAAAAAGUUUAUAAUUACAGGUGGAAAUCUACAAGACAGUAAAGAGGCACUGCAUUUGGCACAAACAAAUGCUAUAUUUUUCAGUACAGUUGGAUGCCAUCCCACAAGAUGCAGUGAAUUUGAAAAGAAUAAUCCUGAUCACUACUUAGCAGAGUUGCUAAAUCUUGCUGAAAACAAUAAAGGGAAAGUUGUAGCAAUAGGGGAAUGUGGACUCGACUUUGAUCGACUACAGUUUUGUUCAAGAGAUACUCAGCUCAAAUAUUUUGAAAAACAGUUUGAACUGUCAGAACAAACAAAAUUACCAAUGUUUCUUCACUGUCGGAACUCUCAUGAUGCAUUUUUGGACAUAAUGAAAAGAAACAGAGAUCGGUGUGUAGGUGGAGUAGUACAUUCAUUUGAUGGUACCAAGGAAGCAGCAGCUGCUUUGAUUGAUUUGGAUCUGUACCUGGGAUUUAAUGGUUGCUCACUGAAAACUGAGGCUAAUUUGGAAGUUUUGAAGUCAAUACCUAGUGAAAAGAUAAUGAUUGAGACUGAUGCACCUUGGUGUGGAGUCAAAAGUACACAUGCUGGAUCAAAAUAUAUAAAAACUUCAUUUCCUACCAAAAAGAAGUGGGAAAAAGGGCACUGUUUGAAAGACAGAAAUGAACCCUGCCAUAUAAUCUCCCUAGCCUAACACUCAACUCUGAGAACACUGCAUUAAAGCAUCUGGUCCCAAGAGGAUUCUGCAGCUACAUGCCAAAGUAACAUCACCGCAGCAGGAAUAAAGCAGCAACAGAUGGCUAAUACAGAAAAGCCUGGUAAGGAUCUCACCAUCACCCUCCCUCAGCAACUGUUCAAAAACAGAAGCCUACUAAAAAUUUGUAACAAUUACCUCAUCAACAAAAUUUACCAAGUUUCGAUUACUAAAAAAAAAUUAUUUUACACAUAAAUGCUUCUCACUCUGCUGAUGCAAGUGAAGAUAGAGGGUGAAAUAUAAGAUGUUCUUAACACUACAUUCAUAUUCAACAAAGACACUGAUUUUCAGAAGUCUCUUGGAAAAGUCCCAUCAC